rnacentral:lncRNA from 1 species
GAAGGGAAAUCUGACACAAAGAAGCAGGUGUGAGACCGGCCCCUUUCUCCCAUGCCUUAGACAGGGCUCCAGGGACUGCUUCAGGGGAGAUGUCAGAGGGCAGCAGGGACCGGGAAGGGAGGAAGAAAGCAGAGUGACAGUGAGAGGUGGGAAAACUACAAGAGGAAUUGUUUGUACGCUUGGAUCUGGACUUUUAGAACUGGUCAGGACCUGACAGAUCCUCCAGCCCAGUUCUCCCGGCUCUCAAACACUGGCAUCAUUUAUAAUUCCCUGGAAAAUCACCAGCAGGUAAAUGAAGGAGAAAAGAAAAGAACAAAAUCCACCGGGAACCAGAGACUUCCAGGCUCCAAAGACAGGCAAUCUCCACCAGGAAGUAAGUAUAAAAUCAACUUACAGUACUUCUUUCUUUAGCACUUAAAAUGGAUUUUAUCUCAUUAAUGUCCAACAGAGACAAGGGCAACUCCUGGAGGAGCUGUUUCCUCACCCCAUACGGCAGCUAGUUCCUCAUUUGUCCUUCAGAGGCAUGUAGAAUCGUUCAUUCACUGAAUAUUUAUUGAGCAUGUACUCUGCGCUGAGCACUGUUCUAGAUGCUCAGAGUGGUGAAUAAAUCAGCUGAGGGAGGAUCCUAGCCAGCCAGAGUUUACAGUGUCUUGCAUGAGGGGGCUCAGGAUAUGCCAUCCCAAACUGUGACUGUAGGAGAUUAGCAUAUGCCAUCCCAAAAUAUGCCCUUUGGCUUAAAGGAUUAUGUUGAUUUGAUUAUUUUGAGAAACUGCAGACACAGGAGAAGCCCUGAAAAGUUAGUCUUCUGGAAGAGAAAUUUACAUCUACAAAGGAAAUCUCCAUUUGUAAGUGUGUCUUCUUCUGCACUAGGAAGAGAAGGAUGACUAAAUCAGAGAAGUCUCUUGUCAGAGAAAGCACGGACUUCAGUCUUCAGACUGAAGAGAAUAUACCUUCGUUUUAUGAUGAUUUUUCUGGCCAUCUCAUCUUAACUGGGUCUUUCCCUACACUUUCUUUCUUUGUAGUUUAAAUUACACCUUUGAGAUCU